rnacentral:rRNA from 1 species
AGAGUUUGAUUCUGGCUCAGGAUGAACGCUGGCGGCGUGCUUAACACAUGCAAGUCGAACGAGGGUUGCUGGUUGAAGUUUCGGAUGGAAACCGGUAAUUCCUAGUGGCGGACGGGUGAGUAACGCGUGGGGAACCUGCCCCGCUCCGGGGGAUACCAGCUGGAAACGGCUGUUAAUACCGCAUAAGCGCACAGCAUUGCAUGAUGCAGUGUGAAAAAACUCCGGUGGAACGGGAUGGCCCCGCGUCUGAUUAGCCAGUUGGCAGGGUAACGGCCUACCAAAGCGACGAUCAGUAGCCGGCCUGAGAGGGCGACCGGCCACAUUGGGACUGAGACACGGCCCAAACUCCUACGGGAGGCAGCAGUGGGGAAUAUUGCACAAUGGGGGAAACCCUGAUGCAGCCGACGCCGCGUGAGUGAGGAAGUAUUUCGGUAUGUAAAGCUCUAUCAGCAGGGAAGAAGAUGACGGUACCUGCACAAGAAGCCCCGGCUAACUACGUGCCAGCAGCCGC